GUUAUCUGAGUCAUUAAAUCUUUUUUGUAUAGUUCUUCUGUGUAUUCUUGCCACCUCUUCUUAAUCUUUUCUGCUGCUUUUAGGUCCAUAUUGUUUCUACUCUUUAUUGUGUCCACCUUUGUAUGAAAAUUUCCCUUGGUAUCUCUAAUUUUCUUGAAGAUAACUCAGUCUUUCCCAUUCUAUUGUUUUCCUCUAUUUCUUUGCAUUUUUCACUUAGGA